GUGCGCGGCCGCGCAGGUGGCGGCGCUGGCGGCCUGGCUGCUCGGCAGGCGGAACUUGUAGGAACGCGGGGCUUCUUGGUGGGGCCGGAGCCGAGACCCAGCCGGAGAGAGCAACAGGUUGGUGAAAACCCUGUGUCCUUGGAGAAAGCUGGUUCCCGUUUUCCUGAGGGGGAGCCCAGAGCUUGGAAGGCCGCGGUUGGCGCUUCGAGAAGGAAGUGGAGAGGCGCCCGGAGUGAUAGUAGCAACGGCGGACAGGGAAGCCCUUUGCAUAUCCAGCUGCAGAAACAGACACCCCAAUGCUAUUUACACACAGCUCUAUAUAUAAAAAAAAGAAAAUAUGAAUAUUACUAUUCAGUGCAUGUCUUGUCGAGGACACGGUCCCCUCCCUUUUCUGCGCCUUCCUGUGUGAACUUUGAUGCUUCCGGGUCUGGGGCACCAGAAGUGAGGUGCGUACUGUGUACCUGGAAAAUCCGCAAAGACUGGUGGGAAUCAGCCCCAGAGUCGACCAACCAGCUGGGGAGGGAUGCUGGCGGAGUGAGGGGGAAGUCGCAAAAGGCAAAAUAGAAAGAAAAAAGGAAAGUGAGGAGGACUAGGAGCCAGUUCUGGUGGAGGAGUCUGGGAUUCCUCCAUUUCUAAGUCUUGACAAGUCCCAGUCUCUCUGCACCUUCCCAGGUAGUUGGCCAGUCCCCCUGGCACACAAGACAGAUGGGAUUUACCUCCCUACCAAUCUGGCGUCUGGUGCUCCACUUAAAUUUUGCUGGUGCUAAGUGUGCUCUUGCUGGCGCUGCCACGGUGUUCUGUUGCCAGACCGCAAGGCCAGGGGACAAGAGAGAUUUCUAUUUUGCUGUUUCGGAUUCAUUUUUUUUUAAAGGGACAAGUUGCAAAAGUGCCACUUGAGAGUGUCUUCUCUUUCUCUGCGGGGAUGAAAACCCAGAGGUGUUUGGGAGCAAACCUUGGGGUCUGGGAGGGAGGAAGGGAAGGGACGGUGGCGUGGUGUUGAGUGGCUCUCUGUAGCCGACGUGGAAAGCUGACCUCAUAUGUGACUUGUUUGCUCUGUCCUCCACCCCCGCAAAAGUGUCCUGGGAGUUCAGCCCCCCACCUCCCCCACCCCCCAAGGGGAUUUCAGGGCUUAGGUUUUAUGGAUUAAAGAGCCAAGAAAUGGC